UACGGAGGGGGCUAGCGUUGUUCGGAAUUACUGGGCGUAAAGCGUACGUAGGCGGCUUUGUAAGUUAGAGGUGAAAGCCCGGAGCUCAACUCCGGAAUUGCCUUUAAGACUGCAUCGCUCGAAUCAUGGAGAGGUGAGUGGAAUUCCGAGUGUAGAGGUGAAAUUCGUAGAUAUUCGGAAGAACACCAGUGGCGAAGGCGACUCACUGGACAUGUAUUGACGCUGAGGUGCGAAAGCGUGGGGAGCAAACAGG
rnacentral:rRNA from 1 species